rnacentral:rRNA from 1 species
UACGAAGGGGGCUAGCGUUGUUCGGAAUCACUGGGCGUAAAGCGCACGUAGGCGGAUCUUUAAGUCAGGGGUGAAAUCCCGAGGCUCAACCUCGGAACUGCCUUUGAUACUGGGGAUCUCGAGUCCGGGAGAGGUGAGUGGAACUGCGAGUGUAGAGGUGAAAUUCGUAGAUAUCUGGAGGAACACCGGUGGCGAAGGCGGCGUUCUGGGACUGCAACUGACACUGAGGAACGAAAGCCAGGGGAGCAAACGGG